CAGCAGCCACGGUAAUACGUAGGGUGCGAGCGUUAAUCGGAAUUACUGGGCGUAAAGCGUUCGCAGGCGGUUUUGUAAGACAGAGGUGAAAUCCCCGGGCUCAACCUGGGAACUGCCUUUGUGACUGCAAGGCUAGAGUACGGCAGAGGGGGAUGGAAUUCCGCGUGUAGCAGUGAAAUGCGUAGAUAUGCGGAGGAACACCGAUGGCGAAGGCAAUCCCCUGGGCCUGUACUGACGCUCAUGCACGAAAGCGUGGGGAGCAAACAGGAUUAGAUACCCCAGUAGUCCCUGUCUCUUAUAC
rnacentral:rRNA from 1 species